GACAGAGGGGGCAAGCGUUGCUCGGAAUCACUGGGCGUAAAGGGUGCGUAGGCGGCGCGGUAAGUCGGGUGUGAAAUCUCGGGGCUUAACUCCGAAACUGCAUUCGAUACUGCCGUGCUUGAGGACUGGAGAGGAGACUGGAAUUCAUGGUGUAGCAGUGAAAUGCGUAGAGAUCAUGAGGAAGACCAGUGGCGAAGGCGGGUCUCUGGACAGUUCCUGACACUGAGGCACGAAGGCCAGGGGAGCAAACGGG
rnacentral:rRNA from 1 species